rnacentral:rRNA from 1 species
UACGUAUGGUGCAAGCGUUAUCCGGAUUUACUGGGUGUAAAGGGAGCGUAGGCGGCGCGUUAAGUCUGAUGUGAAAACCCGAGGCUCAACCACGGGAGUGCAUUGGAAACUGGCGUGCUGGAGUGCCGGAGAGGUAAGCGGAAUUCCUAGUGUAGCGGUGAAAUGCGUAGAUAUUAGGAGGAACACCAGUGGCGAAGGCGGCUUACUGGACGGCAACUGACGCUGAGGCUCGGAAGCGUGGGGAGCAAACAGG